ACGGUCCUAAGGUAGCGAAAUUCCUUGUCGGGUAAGUUCCGACCUGCACGAAUGGCGUAAUGAUGGCCAGGCUGUCUCCACCCGAGACUCAGUGAAAUUGAACUCGCUGUGAAGAUGCAGUGUACCCGCGGCAAGACGGAAAGACCCCGUGAACCUUUACUAUAGCUUGACACUGAACACUGGUCCUUGAUGUGUAGGAUAGGUGGGAGGCUUUGAAGCGUGGACGCCAGUCUGCGUGGAGCCAACCUUGAAAUACCACCCUUUAAUGGCUGGUGUUCUAACGUAGACCCGUAAUCCGGGUUGCGGACAGUGUCUGGUGGGUAGUUUGACUGGGGCGGUCUCCUCCCAAAGAGUAACGGAGGAGCACGAAGGUUGGCUAAUCCUGGUCGGACAUCAGGAGGUUAGUGCAAUGGCAUAAGCCAGCUUGACUGCGAGCGUGACGGCGCGAGCAGGUGCGAAAGCAGGUCAUAGUGAUCCGGUGGUUCUGAAUGGAAGGGCCAUCGCUCAACGGAUAAAAGGUACUCCGGGGAUAACAGGCUGAUACCGCCCAAGAGUUCAUAUCGACGGCGGUGUUUGGCACCUCGAUGUCGGCUCAUCACAUCCUGGGGCUGAAGUAGGUCCCAAGGGUAUGGCUGUUCGCCAUUUAAAGUGGUACGCGAGCUGGGUUUAGAACGUCGUGAGACAGUUCGGUCCCUAUCUGCCGUGGGCGCUGGAGAAUUGAGGGGGGCUGCUCCUAGUACGAGAGGACCGGAGUGGACGCAUCACUGGUGUUCGGGUUGUCAUGCCAAUGGCACU
rnacentral:rRNA from 1 species